GGCUGUCGGGAAGGCGCCGUGCGAACCGGCGGCUCCCGCCGGCCGGGCUGCGGAAUUGCUGGGGCGCCGGAGGAUGUAAACGUGAAGGCGGCAACACCUCGGCCUCCUGCUGCUGUUAAGUCUCCAGGAUCAGGCAGGACUGAACCCAGACCUCAGUGUUCAAGCUCUGAACAACAAAGGGAACGUAUUUUCUUCAUGGAUCAACCACAUGCAGAUGCUACAGUUAAAAAGGCAUAAAAAAGAAGUCAGUCCAGCAGAGGACCGCAGGAAUGGGAGUCAAGAGCUGCAGCAUGAGCUUCAAGAGGAGAGAGGGAGGGAACUUGGUUUGGUCAUCCUGGACAAAAGGUGGCUUCAAGUGAAGAGGCAGGAACAGUUUCAAUAUAGAAAGCACACAACAGUCAAACUGCUACAGGGCAGGUUGCCACUAGAUACUGUGGAGCGGAGACAAGAAAAAGACUAAGUCCAUUAUGACUAAACAUUUGCAGUGAGGUCUGCAGCCAGUCAAUUCUAUAUUCUUAGAGAUUUUGAAGACCUGACCAGUCUAAACACUAAGGAACCUGGUCUGAUUUCAGUGUUGAUCCUGCUUUGAGCAGAAGGUCUAACUACAGACCUCCCAAGGUCUCUGAAUGAUUGCUUGGUUUAAAGAAGAUUAACAUAAUCAUACUACUGCAAAUGCAGUGUAAAAUCAUCUGUCUUGCUGCCUUCAAACUAGACCAUACUUACCUAUACAUGAUGUAACCAAUGAACACCACUGUUUGCACCGCUACAAAUAUGAUGAAGUGUGUGGUAGAUAAGCACGAUGGGAAGGGCGGCAGGUCUGGGCACUUUGGUUUCUCGUUAGAUGGCUGAAAAACCAAGAAAAGCAGUAUUUGAGGGGAAAAAGCAAACAAGAUCUGCCACCAAAUGACUGUUAGGGCAGGAAACGGAACAAGGUCUUUGCAGCCACACAAGUGGAAAUGGCACUACUUGAGAAAAUCAGAACCUUCCUUUGCUUGUCUUCCCUUACUCACUUUUUUGUUUCUCAGCUAAACUGACUGAUGUUAAUUUGAGGGAAAAGAAGAAAUCUUUGAUAAAUCCACUCUGAAAUAAAGAACCUUUAGUGGGCUCACUAGCUAAUUCAGCUUAAUUGCUACCUAGGCUAGACUAAGGUGCUCCUGAAUGUGAAUGCAGUCAUCUUUCACACUUAGAGCCCUAAAGCGCAGCCUGCCUGAGCUUCCUCUGAUUAAAGCUCUCCUCUUUGUGCAGAAGUAAUAGAGAAUCUCAUCUGUAUAGAGCUGUGAAGCAGGGAGGCAAACACAAAAAAGCACCCAGAAACCUAAUUGCUUGACCUUCUUUCCACAGGAAAUUAGACUAAAAAUCACGCUCUUUGUGCAAAACUUCUCAUCAAGACACAGAUCAUGCAGUUAGGUCAAGGCAGUGCAGUUUUAGUGAAGCAGCUUAAUGAAGGAUUAAUUGCUCCAUAAAUUGCAUGCUGGCUCAUCCUAGCUUUUCACUAACAGACAAAUAAAGAAGUGUUACACUUCCAGCACAUAAAUUACCAUAUUUUGUUGUACUAAAUGCUCAAUGUCCCUUUUUACUACAUGAAGGUGUUCUUUGAUGUCAUUGAAGUGCUGAGUUGUUUCAUAGACUCCUGCAGCAGAGCCAGGAUGUUGAGCUCCACUGAUCAACCUCAGAGUAUCAGCCAUGGAAUUUCUGAAAUGAGACAAUGACAAAACAGCUUUCAGUGAAGAACAGCAGUUUUGAGUCCAAAUUAGUUUGAAAUACAUAGUUGCCCCCAAAGGCAGAAAAGCCUUUUUCUAGCUUCCAAGAAUACCUAUUGAGAAAUAAUUCCUUAAUCAAACAAUUAUAUUAAAAAAUGCUUGGUUCUGUACUCAGUUUGAAUGUGUGCAGUGCACCACCUCCUAUGAGCACACUGAAAACAAGAUGUGGCUAGACAUCUGCUUUGCCUGGCUGAUGAAGUCUAAAACAAGAGUUUUAUCUGAGGCUCUUGCCAAGGCUUUAGGAUAAGCAGAGUUUAAUGCAAUCUUUGAAGAAAACCAAAAGCUGUUUGAAAAAUAGAGAAAUAAACCCAGUCAUGUAAGAAAUAAGAAUAAAGAGGCGGCUUUAGGGAUAAGAAAAGAUUUAGAUACAUCCUUGUUUCAUGAUUAUCAUUUAUAUGAGAAACUCAUUUUCCCCAUGUAUUGUCAUAAUACCUGCCAGUGUCUUCCUGUGAAUUCUUUCCGCUUUUACAACAAAUCAAAUUGGAGUCUCAACUUUUUAUGGAUUUGUAACUAAUUUUGUUUGAGGUAAACUAGUCAAUGAGAGAAAAACCCUUAAUCUCUAAUCAAUAUGUUUAUAUAAUUUCCCCCUACUUUGAUGUUUCUUUCCAGUUGCAAAGAGGAUUAUUCUACAGAUAAAAUGUUUAUCAUGUGGAUGUUAAUCUCUUUGUUAUUGACCGAACAAACAAUCAGGAUCUACAUCUUCGGAUUUCUUUUUAAUUUACUUAAAACUUUACAUUCGGUUCAGCUGAGCACUUCAGUGCCUUCAAGUUACCUGUGUACAGUGGUCAGCAAUGUAUCAUAGAAUGGUUUGGAUUGGAAGGGACCUUUAAAGACCACCUGGCCCGGCCCCUCUGCCACAGGCAGGGACAUUGUUCUUUCAGUAGACCAGGCUGCCCAAGUCCCCAUUCAUCUUGACUCUGGGCACUGUCAGUUUUAACUUUUACACACAGGAACAAACCACAAAAUCUGGAUUGAAUACUAUUAAUUUAGAAACCUGGCCACAGCAUAUGAUGGUGUUUGUGUGACACAGAAUUGCAUCACCAUUUGAAAUGUGAAAGCCCCAAGCAAAGCAUUGAAAUGUCCACGUUUACAGAGAGUCUUCAUGAAGACAAAACUCUGCAAUAGCUGCUCUGCAUGCCACUAAAACUCAACAACAUAAAAGCCCCCAAAGAAGGAGAAAAAACUAGUAGUGCACGUCCUGCUCAAAGGCACAGUGACAAGUCUCUAGAGGCUUAGACAGCAAGCACAGACGUGCUAGUGUCACAGCAGUGUUUGCUGCCUUGUAAGAACCACGCAGCAUGUUUAAACUACUUGACCAGCUCCAUAUGAAGUCAAAGCCAUGCACUAAAUUUAUCUGCACAAUGACACUGUGCUGCAGGCACAGCACCUUAAGAGAUGCAGUCAGUAAUUACAGCCCUUCUUAAAUGAUAGAUCAGUGGCAGGCUUCAAGCUGAAGACUACCAGGUACUCUUGAAAAUCCCAUUUGGACUGAAAUCAGCUCCAAGUAUUCUGCAUACUUCCCACGUGGGGAAAAGCCCCCCUUUUUCACUUCCAGUAAGGAAAAGAUCCAUGAAGUCACUUUGUGCUGUCACCUUUGUAAAAGCUCAAUCCCACUUCCAGCAUGGAUUAGAAGAUCAAUCACCUUCCACAGCAAUACCUGUGGUUGCUCUGGAUACCACAAUGUUCUCUAGGCGAGGUGGAGUUAGCCCUGGACUUCUGCAGAGCCUAUUCUUUUCCUGUACUCUGAAUCAGUGCUAUAACCACCUAUGAGAGAAACAAGUUCUGCACUGGAAGAUUUUUUUUUUUCUCUUAAAUGCAGAUCCAUGCACCCUAUGGCUGCUGCUUGGUACCCGCUGGUAGUAAUCCUGCCUGUCCACACGCACCUCCCUGUUUGAUCUCGCACGAAAGUGAUGCUCGUUUUGUUCCACUCCCUCCCAAUAUCACCGAUCUCUGCGUAGUUGACAGAGGUCUGCACAGGCACCUUCCCCCCAGGCCGAUCUGCUGUUGGCUAAAAGCAAAACAACCUCCUUAAGCGGCCGUGGUCUUUCUCAAGUGUAAUUUACAUUUUCUUUUGCCUGAACAAUACCAUGCUGAUGGUUUCUAUUGUAUGAACAUGCAAGAUUCCUCUGUAAUCAGAUGAUUAAGAAAUCCACAAAUCUUGACGAGAAAAUGGCUUUAGACAGUUAAGUCCUUUUCCUCCGGGAUGCCCAGAGGGCUGUUCGUGUCUGUCUAUAAAUAAAGCAGUUCUUUAAUCUAAGAAAAAUAUUAAGAUGAUGUUAUGCAAACCCAUACCUAGUAAGCAGUCCCUAGAAGGGCAGACUGCCAGUGAUAACAAGAAAAUCUAAUUUGCUU